AAGGACACCUUCGAAUCUGGUAAAUGUAAGGAAAGCUGUUUAGCAUGUAGGAGAUGGCAGUUCUCAGUGACAUCAUAAAUAGGACCUCCAUGAAAAAUCUGUUGUAACUAGGAGAGCCCUAGCUUCUUCUGUGAUGUAACAAUUACUGUCCUGACAGGAACUGCCUCUCACAUAUUCCCUCAGUAACUCUCCGGUUUGCUAAUUGGCCACUAAUUCAGAGUAAACAGCCAUUUGGGAGUGAGAACAAAAAGGAUAAAGAGAUCAGAGAUGGGGAAAAAGUAGCUGACCUUCUGUCUUUGUAUGAAAAAAAAGGAAAAAUAAGUGGUACUUUGAAAAGUUCAGGGAGCCCUUGGAAGGGUUGGAGUGAUAUCGCUGAAGAGAUAGACUUGAUCUGAGACUUACACAUAUGGGAAUCAAGAGCUGGAAGCUUCACAGAAGCAUCUGGACUUCCCUGUUCUUAUGGUUCCUGGAUGUCAAAGAAGAAAAAGGUCCUAAGGAAGGAGGUAAAGACAAGUAUUGGGUCCUCAGGUCAGAGUAAACUCCUCCAAGCUUUGGAUACCUAUAGUGCAUUUUGUGUCUGACACGGAUAUCUCGGAGAAAGAAGUGCUUCUAGUUGAGACUUCAUCAUCUUUGUCUUACUACAAGUAUUACUCUGAAUACCAAUUUAGAUUUCUGAGUAAAUAACUGUGAUUAGUU